GACGAACGCUGGCGGCGUGCCUAACACAUGCAAGUCAAGGCGGUAGCAAUACCGACUGGCGCACGGGUGCGGAACACGUAGGUAAUCUGCCCUUUAGGGGAGAACAACUCAUCGAAAGGUGAGCUAAAUCUCCGUAAUGUUUUACAUGGCAUCAUAGUUCAACCAAGUUUUCUAAGGGAUGAGCCUGCGUCUGAUUAGCUAGUUGGUGAGGUAACGGCUCACCAAGGCACGAUCAGUAGCUGGUCUGAGAGGAUGAUCAGCCACAUUGGGACUGAGACAC
rnacentral:rRNA from 1 species